GACGAACGCUGGCGGCGUGCUUAACACAUGCAAGUCGAACGGAAAGGCCCUGCCUGUGUGGGGGGCUCGAGUGGCGAACGGGUGAGUAACACGUGAGUAACCUGCCCUUGACUUUGGGAUAACUUCAGGAAACUGGGGCUAAUACCGGAUAGGAGCUCUUGCUGUAUGGUGGGGGGUGGAAAGUUUCGGCGGUUGGGGAUGGACUGGCGGCAUAGCAGCUUGUUGGUGGGGUAGUGGGUUAGCAAGGUUUUGAGGGGUAGCCGGGCUGUGAGGGUGACCGGCCUCAUUGGGACUGGAAUGCGGCUCAGACUCCUACUGGAGGGUGCGUUUCGGUUUCUUACACAAUAAGCGGAGACCUGGUGCAGCAACGCAACGUGCUGGAUGACGUCCUUCUGGUUGUAACCCGCUUCCGCCUGUGACGAGGCGUCAAUGACGGUAAUGUGUAAAGAAGCACCGGCUAACUACGUG
rnacentral:rRNA from 1 species